rnacentral:misc_RNA from 1 species
AAGUCGUAACAAGGUUUCCGUAGGUGAACCUGCGGAAGGAUCAUUAUUGAAUGAACUUGGCAUGGUUGUUGCUGGUCCUCUCGGGGGCAUGUGCACACCUAUCAUCUUUAUCUUUCCACCUGUGCACAUUUUGUAGGCCAAAAAAAUUUCCCGAGGCAACUCGGUUUGGGGGGACUGCUGUGCAUCACUGCCGGCUUCCCCCUGGAUUUUUGGGCCUAUGUUUUCACAUACACCAUAAGAAUGUAAUAGAAUGUUAUAUUGGGCUUUGUUGCCUAUAAACUAUAUACAA